GGGGAAUUUUCCGCAAUGGGCGAACGCCUGACUGAGCAAGACCGCGGGGGGGAGGAAGGUUCUUGGAUUGUCAACCCCUUCUCCCAGGGAAGAAGAAAGUGACGGUACCUGAGGAAGAAGCAUCGGCUAACUCCGUGCCAGCAGCCGCGGUAAUACGGGGGAUGCAAGCGUUAUCCGGAAUGAUUGGGCGUAAAGAGUCCGUAGGUGGCUCAUCAAGUCUGCUGUUAAAGAGCGAGGCUUAACUUCGUAAAAGCAGUGGAAACUGAAGAGCUAGAGUAUAGUAGGGGCAGAGGGAAUUCCUGGUGUAGCGGUGAAAUGCGUAGAGAUCAGGAAGAACACCGGUGGCGAAAGCGCUCUGCUGGGCUAAAACUGACACUGAGGGACGAAAGCUAGGGGAGCGAAUGGGAUUAGAUACCCCAGUAGUC
rnacentral:rRNA from 1 species